ACUUGGAGGCCAGAAGCCUCUGACUGGAAAUGCAAAAUGGCCGCACAUUCCAGGGCCUGAUCUGGCAAUGGAGCAGCAGUAUGGGUCAUUUUGGAAACAGGCAUUCUGUUAAGUAAUCUCUGUCGGCUGCAAGGUUAUAACGGCCAGCGCUCCUGCCGGUUGCGACGAUCAGGAUAAUGUGAGGGGGAAAGGAAGGGAAAA